rnacentral:rRNA from 1 species
AGCGAACGCUGGCGGCAGGCUUAACACAUGCAAGUCGAGCGGACCUUUCGGGGUCAGCGGCGGACGGGUGAGUAACGCGUGGGAACGUGCCUUCCGGUUCGGAAUAACCCUGGGAAACUAGGGCUAAUACCGGAUACGCCCUUAUGGGGAAAGGUUUACUGCCGGAAGAUCGGCCCGCGUCUGAUUAGCUAGUUGGUGGGGUAACGGCCUACCAAGGCGACGAUCAGUAGCUGGUCUGAGAGGAUGAUCAGCCACACUGGGACUGAGACACGGCCCAGACUCCUACGGGAGGCAGCAGUGGGGAAUAUUGGACAAUGGGCGCAAGCCUGAUCCAGCCAUGCCGCGUGAGUGAUGAAGGCCUUAGGGUUGUAAAGCUCUUUUAUCCGGGACGAUAAUGACGGUACCGGAGGAAUAAGCCUCGGCUAACUUCGUG